rnacentral:piRNA from 1 species
UGUUUUUCAUAUUGGUUAAUU